rnacentral:rRNA from 1 species
CAGAACGAACGCUGGCGGCGCGUCUUAAGCAUGCAAGUCGAGCGGCAAGCGCCAGCAAUGGCGCCUAGAGCGGCGGACUGGUGAGUAACGCGUGGGUGACCUGCCCAGGGGAUGGGCAUAGCCAUUAGAAAUAGUGGGUAAUACCGAAUAAGGUUGUGAAAGUAAUUUUGCAAAGAAAGGAGCUAUGGCUCCGCCCGUGGAUGGGCCCGCGUCCCAUUAGGUAGUUGGGAGGGUAAUGGCCUACCAAGCCCGAGAUGGGUAGCCGGCCUGAGAGGGUGAACGGCCACACUGGGACUGAGAUACGGCCCAGACUCCUCCGGGAGGCAGCAGCUAAGAAUAUUCCGCAAUGGACGAAAGUCUGACGGAGCGACGCCGCGUGGAUGACGAAGGCCGAAAGGUUGUAAAAUCCUUUUAUUGCUGGAGGAAUAAGCGGGGGAGGGAAUGCCCCCGUGAUGACG